CGGGGAGUAGCGCAGUUUGGUAGCGCACCUGAAUGGGGUUCAGGGGGUCGCAGGUUCGAAUCCUGUCUCCCCGACCA
rnacentral:tRNA from 1 species